UGGGGAUUUCUGCGUGGAGGUUGGCAA
rnacentral:piRNA from 1 species